AAAAAGGCAAUGAAAAGAAGAGUAUGCUUUGAAAAAAUCAACAGAGAGUUCUACAAUGCUGAAAGGGAACGGUUUGGAAAAAGCAGAACAUGGUCUUGGAGCUGCAUACUGAAAGCAUAUUUUAUGUAAGUAGGCUAUGACGGGAACGCCCGUAACAGCGUUAGAGUGUCAGUUUUUUUUAACUCGCACUUGAUGAGGCUCUUAUUGUGAGAUAAGAGCAAAAUAGGGUGGUAACACGAAGCUAUGCUCUCGUCCCUAUG
rnacentral:ncRNA from 1 species